GGUGUUAAGCCGGAGGAAGUGGGGAUGACGUCAAGUCCUCAUGCCUUAUGCCCAGGGCUACACACGUGCUACAAUGGGCGGUACAAAGAGAAGCAACCUCGCGAGGGUGAGCAAAUACUCAAAAAGCCGUUCUCAGUUCGGAUUGAAGUCUGCAACUCGACUUCAUGAAGUCGGAAUCGCUAGUAAUCGCGGAUCAGCAUGCCGCGGUGAAUACGUUCCCGGGCCUU
rnacentral:rRNA from 1 species